GGUUAAGCGACUAAGCGUACACGGUGGAUGCCCUGGCAGUCAGAGGCGAUGAAGGACGUGCUAAUCUGCGAUAAGCGCCGGUAAGGUGAUAUGAACCGUUAUAACCGGCGGUUUCCGAAUGGGGAAACCCAGUGUGACUCGUCACACUAUCAUUAACUGAAUCCAUAGGUUAAUGAGGCGAACCGGGGGAACUGAAACAUCUAAGUACCCCGAGGAAAAGAAAUCAACCGAGAUUCCCCCAGUAGCGGCGAGCGAACGGGGAGGAGCCCAGAGCCUGAAUCAGCAUGUGUGUUAGUGGAAGCGUCUGGAAAGGCGCGCGAUACAGGGUGACAGCCCCGUACACAAAAGCGCAUGUGCUGUGAGCUCGAUGAGUAGGGCGGGACACGUGGUAUCCUGUCUGAAUAUGGGGGGACCAUCCUCCAAGGCUAAAUACUCCUGACUGACCGAUAGUGAACCAGUACCGUGAGGGAAAGGCGAAAAGAACCCCGGCGAGGGGAGUGAAAAAGAACCUGAAACCGUGUACGUACAAGCAGUGGGAGCACAGGUUUACCUGUGUGACUGCGUACCUUUUGUAUAAUGGGUCAGCGACUUAUAUUCUGUAGCAAGGUUAACCGAAUAGGGGAGCCGGAGGGAAACCGAGUCUUAAUUGGGCGUUAAGUUGCAGGGUAUAGACCCGAAACCCGGUGAUCUAGCCAUGGGCAGGUUGAAGGUUGGGUAACACUAACUGGAGGACCGAACCGACUAAUGUUGAAAAAUUAGCGGAUGACCUGUGGCUGGGGGUGAAAGGCCAAUCAAACCGGGAGAUAGCUGGUUCUCCCCGAAAGCUAUUUAGGUAGCGCCUCGUGAAUUCAUCUCCGGGGGUAGAGCACUGUUUCGGCUAGGGGGCCAUCCCGGCUUACCAACCCGAUGCAAACUGCGAAUACCGGAGAAUGUUAUCACGGGAGACACACGGCGGGUGCUAACGUCCGUCGUGAAGAGGGAAACAACCCAGACCGCCAGCUAAGGUCCCAAAGUCAUGGUUAAGUGGGAAACGAUGUGGGAAGGCCCAGACAGCCAGGAUGUUGGCUUAGAAGCAGCCAUCAUUUAAAGAAAGCGUAAUAGCUCACUGGUCGAGUCGGCCUGCGCGGAAGAUGUAACGGGGCUAAACCAUGCACCGAAGCUGCGGCAGCGACACUGUGUGUUGUUGGGUAGGGGAGCGUUCUGUAAGCCUGCGAAGGUGUCCCGUGAGGGAUGCUGGAGGUAUCAGAAGUGCGAAUGCUGACAUAAGUAACGAUAAAGCGGGUGAAAAGCCCGCUCGCCGGAAGACCAAGGGUUCCUGUCCAACGUUAAUCGGGGCAGGGUGAGUCGACCCCUAAGGCGAGGCCGAAAGGCGUAGUCGAUGGGAAACGGGUUAAUAUUCCCGUACUUGGUGUUACUGCGAAGGGGGGACGGAGAAGGCUAUGUUGGCCGGGCGACGGUUGUCCCGGUUUAAGCGUGUAGGUGUGUGUUCCAGGUAAAUCCGGUUCACUUUAACACUGAGGCGUGACGACGAGGCACUACGGUGCUGAAGCAACAAAUGCCCUGCUUCCAGGAAAAGCCUCUAAGCAUCAGGUAACAUCAAAUCGUACCCCAAACCGACACAGGUGGUCAGGUAGAGAAUACCAAGGCGCUUGAGAGAACUCGGGUGAAGGAACUAGGCAAAAUGGUGCCGUAACUUCGGGAGAAGGCACGCUGACACGUAGGUGAAGUGAUUUACUCAUGGAGCUGAAGUCAGUCGAAGAUACCAGCUGGCUGCAACUGUUUAUUAAAAACACAGCACUGUGCAAACACGAAAGUGGACGUAUACGGUGUGACGCCUGCCCGGUGCCGGAAGGUUAAUUGAUGGGGUCAGCGCAAGCGAAGCUCCUGAUCGAAGCCCCGGUAAACGGCGGCCGUAACUAUAACGGUCCUAAGGUAGCGAAAUUCCUUGUCGGGUAAGUUCCGACCUGCACGAAUGGCGUAAUGAUGGCCAGGCUGUCUCCACCCGAGACUCAGUGAAAUUGAACUCGCUGUGAAGAUGCAGUGUACCCGCGGCAAGACGGAAAGACCCCGUGAACCUUUACUAUAGCUUGACACUGAACAUUGAGCCUUGAUGUGUAGGAUAGGUGGGAGGCUUUGAAGUGUGGACGCCAGUCUGCAUGGAGCCGACCUUGAAAUACCACCCUUUAAUGUUUGAUGUUCUAACGUGGACCCGUAAUCCGGGUUGCGGACAGUGUCUGGUGGGUAGUUUGACUGGGGCGGUCUCCUCCUAAAGAGUAACGGAGGAGCACGAAGGUUGGCUAAUCCUGGUCGGACAUCAGGAGGUUAGUGCAAUGGCAUAAGCCAGCUUGACUGCGAGCGUGACGGCGCGAGCAGGUGCGAAAGCAGGUCAUAGUGAUCCGGUGGUUCUGAAUGGAAGGGCCAUCGCUCAACGGAUAAAAGGUACUCCGGGGAUAACAGGCUGAUACCGCCCAAGAGUUCAUAUCGACGGCGGUGUUUGGCACCUCGAUGUCGGCUCAUCACAUCCUGGGGCUGAAGUAGGUCCCAAGGGUAUGGCUGUUCGCCAUUUAAAGUGGUACGCGAGCUGGGUUUAGAACGUCGUGAGACAGUUCGGUCCCUAUCUGCCGUGGGCGCUGGAGAACUGAGGGGGGCUGCUCCUAGUACGAGAGGACCGGAGUGGACGCAUCACUGGUGUUCGGGUUGUCAUGCCAAUGGCACUGCCCGGUAGCUAAAUGCGGAAGAGAUAAGUGCUGAAAGCAUCUAAGCACGAAACUUGCCCCGAGAUGAGUUCUCCCUGAGACUUAGAGUCUCCUGAAGGAACGUUGAAGACGACGACGUUGAUAGGCCGGGUGUGUAAGCGCAGCGAUGCGUUGAGCUAACCGGUACUAAUGAACCGUGAGGCUUAACCUU
rnacentral:rRNA from 1 species